CCUACGGGAGGCAGCAGUGAGGAAUAUUGGUCAAUGGGCGCGAGCCUGAACCAGCCAAGUAGCGUGAAGGAUGACUGCCCUACGGGUUGUAAACUUCUUUUAUAAAGGAAUAAAGUGAGGCACGUGUGCCUUUUUGUAUGUACUUUAUGAAUAAGGAUCGGCUAACUCCGUGCCAUCAGCCGCGGUAAUACGGAGGAUCCGAGCGUUAUCCGGAUUUAUUGGGUUUAAAGGGAGCGUAGAUGGGUUGUUAAGUCAGUUGUGAAAGUUUGCGGCUCAACCGUAAAAUUGCAAUUGAUACUGGCAGUCUUGAGUACAGUUGAGGUAGGCGGAAUUCGUGGUGUAGCGGUGAAAUGCUUAGAUAUCACGAAGAACUCCGAUUGCGAAGGCAGCUUACUAAACUGCCACUGACAUUGAUGCUCGAAAGUGUGGGUAUCAAACAGGAGUAGAUACCCGAGUAGUC
rnacentral:rRNA from 1 species